UAUUAUAAAAAAUAAAAUGAUUUGGGGAGCUUGCUUAGGUGAAUGUGUGUGUUGAGCAUAAUUGAUCGGUGUGUGGAGUUUUUGGUUGGAAAGAGAAAACUUCCUUAAUCGUUGAUCACCAUAGCUAGCCAUCGGAUUCUACUUUCUUCGUUAUUUUCCAACCCCAAUCCAGCAUUUCAAAUUUUUCUUUGGAAAAAAUCAUUUUCUCUAAAGAAUCACAAUCAAAUUAUCCAACCUCACUUGUCAGUAAUGGAGUGUGAGGGGAUCUCUCGAAGCUUUCGCAACUAUGUCGACAAUAAAUCAACCGACACUAUUGUUAAGACUAAGCGUACAGAGGCAGAUUCUUGAGAAGAAGAAGGCCAUUGAUGAUGUGAUUAAAGCUGCCUCUGCCCAUAAGGACCCUUUAUCGGCUUUCCCUGCUUUUCGGUUUUACAGCAGGCAUGGCAUGUCUAUGUAUUUGGAAUCUGGACGUGGUGAUAAGCUCUCCGCUCCUGUGAAGAAAUACAUCCAAAACCUACUCAAGGUCAAUAUGGAAAGACACUAUGGUUCUCAGUGGCCAUUGGAAGAAAAGGUUAAGCGCAGGGAAAUGGCUGCACCUGAAGCACGAUAUAUAUUUGUUUACGAGGUUCCAAAUGGAAGUCCUUGUGAGACAUCAAAAACCUCUGAUGGGAAAAGGACUAUAACUAAUUGUCUGGUAGAUAGGGGGACUAUGGUUGGAUUUGCUCAUUUUCGAUUUGUCAGGGAGGAAGGCAUACCGGUUCUUUAUGUUUAUGAACUGCAGCUGGAAGCUCGUGUGCGAGGCAUGGGACUAGGAAAGUUCUUGAUGCAAUUACUUGAGAAUAUUGCUCAAAAGAGCGAUAUGGGUGCUGUGAUGCUGACUGUUCAGAAAUCGAACUUCGGUGCUAUAAAUUUCUACACUAGUGUUUUAAGAUAUAUGUUAUCAAUGACGUCACCAUCAAGAAUUGAGCCACUGGUGGGAAUUGAGAAAAGUUAUAUAAUCCUUUGCAAAACAUUUAAUCAAGAGGCAGCCAAAGCUAUCUUAGCUGAAGAAAAUGCUUGAAAGAAUUUAGUCCAACCUCGAGGUUUAAGGCGCAUCAAGCAUUUUGGAGUGGGGGAUAUCUUUCACAUUUUUUAUUUCUAAGAUACAAGGUGAUGGAGGAGAAAAAUAAAAUAAAAGGUAGUUCAUGAGCCAAAUUUGAACUAAAGAACGUUUUUUUUUCCUUUAGGUACAUGUAUAUGAACUUAUGUGUGAGUGGAUAUUGCAUGUGAUGUAAAUACUUUCACAUGUUUUUAGUACAAAAUGCUUAUUAAAGGAUAAAGAUUAACAC